rnacentral:rRNA from 1 species
CCCUACGGGGGGCAGCAGUGAGGAAUAUUGGUCAAUGGGAGAGAUCCUGAACCAGCCAAGCCGCGUGAGGGAAGACGGCCCUAUGGGUCGUAAACCUCUUUUGUCGGAGAACAAAACCCGGGACGUGUCCCGGACUGCGUGUAUCCGAAGAAAAAGCAUCGGCUAACUCCGUGCCAGCAGCCGCGGUAAUACGGAGGAUGCGAGCGUUAUCCGGAUUUAUUGGGUUUAAAGGGUGCGUAAGCGGUCCGUUAAGUCAGCGGUAAAAUUGCGGGGCUCAACCCCGUCGAGCCGUUGAAACUGGCAGA